rnacentral:rRNA from 1 species
CAGUGUCAGGCGGGCAGUUUGACUGGGGCGGUCGCCUCCUAAAGAGUAACGGAGGCGCUCAAAGGUUCCCUCAGAAUGGUUGGAAAUCAUUCAUAGAGUGUAAAGGCAUAAGGGAGCUUGACUGCGAGACCUACAAGUCGAGCAGGGUCGAAAGACGGACUUAGUGAUCCGGUGGUUCCGCAUGGAAGGGCCAUCGCUCAACGGAUAAAAGCUACCCCGGGGAUAACAGGCUUAUCUCCCCCAAGAGUUCACAUCGACGGGGAGGUUUGGCACCUCGAUGUCGGCUCAUCGCAUCCUGGGGCUGUAGUCGGUCCCAAGGGUUGGGCUGUUCGCCCAUUAAAGCGGUACGCGAGCUGGGUUCAGAACGUCGUGAGACAGUUCGGUCCCUAUCCGUCGUGGGCGUAGGAAAUUUGAGAGGAGCUGUCCUUAGUACGAGAGGACCGGGAUGGACAUACCUCUGGUGUACCAGUUGUCGUGCCAACGGCAUAGCUGGGUAGCUAUGUAUGGACGGGAUAAGUGCUGAAAGCA